ACAUUAAUUUCCAUAUUGUCUAAACGACUGGAAAAAACUUGAGCCCCUGCCCCUGUAUAAUCAUGUGCACGUCCCUGUUCUAGCUCCAAGGUGAAUCUUGACUGCUCAUGUUCUCCUCAGAAGCAGUCACCUCACUCCCCUCAGGUUACUGUACACAUGCACCAACUGCCUGCUUCAGGUUUGGAUGGAGCUUCAUGGUUGUCUUUUGGAGAAAUGAGCAGUCAAGUUGUGUUUGAAAUUUCAUUUUUUUCAGGGGCAAAAGGAAGUCUCUGCAUUGUUGUCAAAUAUGUAAAUAGCAUGUUUUUGCAGGUGCUGAAAAACAGACUCUGAGUGUGUUGUGUGUGUGUGUGUGUGUGUGUGUGUGUGUGUGUGUGUGUGUGUGUGUGUGUGUGUGUGUGUGUGUGUGUGUCUGUGUGUGUGUGUGUCUGUGUGUGUGUAUCCUGCAGUACUCUGUACUCCUGCAGUGGCCAAAACGACUUUUAAGAAUGUGGAUAUUUGGGUCAUCUUUGGCGCCCCCUAGAACGUAAACCAUGGGGUGCAGCGGCAUGAUUUUUACAACUUUGACUGGCCAUGGGGUGUAGAUUGGCCUGAGCAAAUUUGGUGUCAGUGGGCCGGAAGCCUUAGGAGGAGUUAGCCACAUUCCAAUGUGUGCGAAUCGGCAAAAAAUGCAAAAUAGCCGUUUAGCCGUACAUUUUACAGAUACGCGCGCAUUGACUUUUUCGUAGAUCUUAUUGAGAUACACGUGUGUGUCAAAUUUUGUGUCAUUUUGACAAAGCAUACAGGCGUGAAUCUCAACAAUGUGUAUUUUCACCUUAGGGGACAAGAAAAAAUUGAUUUUUUGUCCUGCCAUGGGGGGCCGCUCUUUUGGGGAGUAAAAAUUCCUUUACAAAUGUGUUGAUGGCUGGACAUUGCAUCAUCCUAGAAAACUUGGAGGCCAGUGAGGACAAAAAAAAAAAGUUAUAAAACUUUUAAGAAUGUGGAUUUUUGGGUUAUUUUUGGCGCCCCCUAGAACCUAAACCAUGGAGUGCAGCAUCAUGAUUUGUACAACUUUGAAUGGCCAUGGAGUGUAGAUUGGCCUGAGCAAAUGUGGUGCCGGUGGAACGAAAGCCUUCGGAGGAGUUAGCGAAAUUCCAAUGUGUGCGGAUCUGCAAAAAAUGCGAAAUAACCCUUUAACCGUACAUUUGACAGAUAUGCCCGCACUGACUUUUUUGUAGAUCUUAUUGAGAUACAUGUGUGUGUCAAUUUUUGUGUCAAUAUGACAAAGCGUACAGGCGUGACAGUCAAUAGUGUGAAUUUUCACCUUAGGGGGCGCUAUGGAGCCAUUUUGCAUUUUAUUGUUUGGGCGACUUCAGAAUAUCGAAUUUUUCACCAGGCCCGGUCGUCCUGCCAAAUUUCCUGAGUUUUCGCCAGUGGGAAGUGGGCCAUUUUCCCCUUCAAAGGGGAGGAAAAAUAAGAAGAAAGAAAGAAAGAAAGAAAGAAGAAAGAAAAACCUAUACAGGAAUAAUAGGGCUCUACGCCCGGCUGCUCUGCAGCUGGCUCGGGCCCUAAUAAUAAGAAGAAGAAGAAGAAAGAAGAAUCCAUCAGGAAUAAUAGGGCUCUCGCAGCUGCUUAGCAGCUACGCUCGGGCCCUAAUAACUAGGGCCCCGGUGGGGCACUGUCGGGCCCGAGCCGCGUCGUGCCGCCCCCAGCGUGACCGCCUCCCCCUCCCGAUCGCGUCACACUCAAGGUCCAAAGAUGGUGUGCGCACUUGUCUGUGGUCAUUUCCCACUAUAAUGAAUGGGAGGCGCAGUUUCUACCAAAACACUCGCUGCAGACAAACUUCAUGUCCUAUUUGAAAAAAGUCUGGACCAUGAGUGAGGGCACAAACACAGCUGGGAUAUAUCCAAAUGGCAGGUUGCUCCUCCUUACGGUGUUGCCUGGAGAGCGAUGCGAUUGAGCCAUUGAGCGAUGGGCAGGAAAAACUUGACUUUUUCUCGUGCCAUCGGGGGGGAGAAUGUGGAUUCUUUUAAGAAUGUGGAUUUUUUGGUCAUCUUUGGCGCCCCCUAGAACGUAAACCGUGGGGUGCAGCGUCAUGAUUUUUACAACUUUGAAUGGCCAUGGGGUGUAGAUUGGCCUGAGCAAAUUUGGUUUCAGUGGGACGAAAGCCUUAGGAGGAGUUAGCCACAUUCCAAUGUGUGCGAAUUGGCCAAAAAUGCAAAAUAGCCCUCUAACCGUACAUUUGACAGAUACGCACCCAUUGACUUUUUCGUAGAUCUUAUUGAGAUACACGUGAUUGUCAAAUUUUGUGUCAAUAUGACAAAGCGUACAGGUGUCACACUCAACAAUGUGAAUUUUCACCUUACGGGACAAGAAAAAAUGGACUUUUUUCUCCUGCCAUGGGGGGGCGCUCUUUUGGGGAGUACAAAUUCCUUCACAAAUGUGUUGAUGGCUGGACAUUGCAUCAUCCUAGAAAACUUGGAGGCCAGUGAGGACAAAAAUAAAAAGUUAUAAGACUUUUGAAAUAUGUGGAUUUUAGGGUUAUCUUUGGCACCCCCUAGAACCUAAACCGUGGGGUGCAGCGUCAUGAUUUGAAUAACUUUUAAUGGCCAUGGGGUGUAGAUUGGCCUGAGCAAAUGUGGUGCCGGUGGAACGAAAGCCUUCGGAGGAGUUAGCGAAAUUCCAAUGUGUGCGGAUCGGCAAAAAAUGCGGAAUAACCCUUUAACCGUACAUUUGACAGAUACGCGCGCAUUGACUUUUUCGUAGAUCUUAUUGAGAUACAUGUGUGUGUCAAAUUUUGUGUCAAUAUGACAAAGCGUACAGGCGUGACACUCAACAAUGUGUAUUUUCCCCUUAGGGGACAAGAAAAAAUUGACUUUUUUCUCCUGCCAUGGGGGGGCGCUCUUUUGGGGAGUAAAAAUUCCUUCACAAAUGUGUUGAUGGCUGGACAUUGCAUCAUCCUAGAAAACUUGGAGGCCAGUGAGGGCAAAAAUAAAAAGUUAUAAGACUUUUAAGACUGUGGAUUUUUUGGUUAUCUUUGGCGCCCCCUAGAACCUAAACCGUGGGGUGCAGCGUCAUGAUUUUUACAACUUUGAAUGGCCAUGGAGUGUAGAUUGGCCUGAGCAAAUUUGGUGUCAGUGGGACGAAAGCCUUAGGAGGACUUAGCGAAAUUCCAAUGUGUGCGAAUCGCCAAAAAAUGCAAAAUAGCCCUUUAACUGUACAUUUUACACUUACGUGCCCAUUGACUUUUUCAUAGAUCUUAUUGAGAUACACGUGAUUUUCAAAUUUUUUGUCAAUAUGACAAAGCGUAAAGGCGUGACACUCAACAACGUGAAUUUUCACCUUUCGGGAUAAGAAAAAAUGGACUUUUUUCUCCUGCCAUGGGGGGGGCGCUCUUUUGGGGAGUAAAAAUUUCUUCACAAAUGUGUUGAUGGCUGGACAUUGCAUCAUCCUAAAAAACUUGGAGGCCAGUAUGAAAAAAAAUAAAAAGUUAUAAGACUUUUAAGAAUGUGGAUUUUUGGGUUAUAUUUGGUGCCCCCUAGAACCCAAACCGUGGGAUGCAGCAAGAUGAUUUGUACAACUUUUAAUGGCCAUGGGGUGUAGAUUGGCCUGAGCAAAUUUGGUGCCGGUGGAAAGAUAGCCUUCGGAGGAGUUAGCGAAAUUCCAAUGUGUGCGGAUCGGCAAAAAAUGCAAAAUAGCCCUUUAACCGUACAUUUGACAGAUACAUGCCCUUUGACUUUUUCGUAGAUCUUAUUGAGAUACACGUGUGUGUCAAAUUUUUUGUCAAUAUAACAAAGCGUUCAGGCGUGACACUCUACAAUGUGUAUUUUCAUGUUAGGGGACAAGAAAAAAUGGACCUUUUUCUCCUGCCAUUGGGGGGAGCUCUUUUGGGGAGUAAAAAUUCCUUCACAAAUGUGUUGAUGGCUGGACAUUGCAUCAUCCUAGAAAACUUGAAGGCCAGUGAGGACAAAAGUAAAAAGUUAUAAGACUUUUAAGAAUGUGGAUUUUUGGGUUAUCUUUGGCGCCCCCUAGAACGUAAACCGUGGGGUGCAGCGUCAUGAUUUGUACAACUUUUAAUGGCCAUGGGGGGUAGAUUGGCCUGCGCAAAUGUGGUGCCGGUCGAACGAAAGCCUUAGGAGGACUUAGCGAAAUUCCAAUGUGUGCAGAUCUGCAAAAAAUGCAAAAUACCCCAUUAACCGUACAUUUGACAGAUACGCCCGCACUGACUUUUUUGUAGAUCUUAUUGAGAUACAUGUGUGUGUCAAUUUUUGUUUCAAUAUGACAAAGCGUACAGCCGUCAUGUGAAUUUUCACCUUAGGGGGCACUAUGGAGCCAUUUUGCAUUUUCUUGUUUGGGCGACUUCAGAAUAUCGAAUUUUUCACCAGGCCCGGUCGUCCUGCCAAAUUUCCUGAGUUUUCGCCAGUGGGAAGUGGGCCAUUUUCCAGUUUAAAGCGGAGGAAAAAUAAUAACGAACUAGGGCCCCGGUGGGGCACUGUCGGGCCCGAGCCGCGUCGUGCCGCCCCCAGCGCGACCGCCUCCCCCUCCCGAUCGCGUCACACUCAAGGUCCAAAGAAGGUGUGCGCACUUGUCUGUGGUCAUUUCCCAUUAUAAUGAAUGGAGGCGCAGUUUCUACCAAAACACUCGCUGCAGACAAACUACAUGUCCUAUUUGAAAAAAGUCUGGACCAUGAGUGAGGGCACAAACACAGCUAGGAUAUAUCCAAAUGGCAAGUUGCUCCUCCUUACGGUGUUGCUGGGAGAGCGAUGCGAUUGAGCCAUUGACCGAUGGGCAGGGUUAACUUGACUUUUUCUCCUGCCUUGGGGGGGGCGAUGUGGAUUCUUUUAAGAAUGUGGAUAUUUAGGUCAUCUUUGGCGCCCCCUAGAACCUAAACCGUGGGGAGCAGCGUCAUGAUUUCUACAACUUUGAAUGGCCAUGGGAUGUAGAUCGGCUUGAGCAAAUUUGGUGUUGGUGGGACGAAAGCCUUAGGAGGAGUUAGCCACAUUCCAAUGUGUGCGAAUCGGCAAAAAAUGCGAAAUAGCCCUUUAACCGUACAUUUUACAGAUACGUGCCCAUUGACUUUUUCGUAGAUCUUAUUGAGAUACACGUGUGUGUCAAAUUUUGUGUCAUUUUGACAAAGCGUAUAGGCGUGACAGUCAACAAUGUGUUUUUUCACCUUAGGGGACAAGAAAAAAUGGACUCUUUUCUCCUGCCAUGGGGGGGCGCUCUUUUUCAGGAGUAAAAAUUCCUUUACAGAUGUGUUGAUGGCUGGACAUUGCAUCAUCCUAGAAAACUUGGAGGCCAGUGAGGACAAAAAUAAAAAGUUAUAACACUUUUAAGAAUAUGGAUAUUUGGGUCAUCUUUGGCGCCCCCUAGAACCUAAACCGUGGGGUGCAGCGUCAUGAUUUUUACAACUUUGAAUGGCCAUGGGGUGUAGAUUAGCCUGAGCAAAUUUGGUGUCAGUGGGACGAAAGCUGUAGGACGAGUUAGCCACAUUCCAAUGUGUGCGAAUCAGCAAAAAAUGCAAAAUAGCCCUUUAACCGUACAUUUUACAGAUACGUGCCCAUUGACUUUUUCGUAGAUCUUAUUGAGAUACAUGUGUGUGUCAAUUUUUGUGUCAAUAUGACAAAGCGUACAGGCGUGACAGUCAACAAUGUGUAUUUUCACCUUAGGGGACAAGAAAAAAUGGACUUUUUUCUCCUGCCAUGUGGGGGCGCUCUUUUGGGGAGUAAAAAUUCCUUCACAAAUGUGUUGAUGGCUGGACAUUGCAUCAUCCUAGAGAACUUGGAGGCCAGUGAGGAAAAAAAUAAAAAGUUAUAAGACUUUUAAGAAUGUGGAUUUUUUGGUUAUCUUUGGCGCCCCCUAGAACCUAAACCGUGGGGUGCAGCGUCAUGAUUUGUACAACUUUCGAUGGCCAUGGGGUGUAGAUUGGCCUGAGCAAAUGUGGUGCCGGUGGAACGAAAGCCUUCGGAGGAGUUAGCGAAAUUUCAAUGUGUGCGGAUCGGUAAAAAAUGCGAAAUAACCCUUUAACCGUACAUUUGACAGAUACGCCCGCACUGACUUUUUUGUAGAUCUUAUUGAGAUACAUGUGUGUGUCAAUUUUUGUGUCAAUAUGGCAAAGCGUACAGGCGUGACAGUCAACAGUGUGUAUAUUCGCCUUAGGGGACAAGAAAAAAUGGACUUUUUUCUCCUGCCAUGGGGGGGCGCUCUUUUGGCGAGUAAAAAUUCCUUCACAAAUGUGUUAAUUGCUGGACAUUGCAUCAUCCUAGAGAACUUGGAGGCCAGUGAGGACAAAAAUAAAAAGUUAUAAGACUUUUAAGACUGUGGAUUUUUGGGUUAUCUUUGGCGCCCCCUAGAACGUAAACCGUGGGGUGCAGCGUCAUGAUUUGUACAACUUUUAAUGGCCAUGGGGUGUAGAUUGGCCUGAGCAAAUGUGGUGCCGGUGGAACGAAAGCCUUCGGAGGAGUUAGCGAAAUUCCAAUGUGUGCGGAUCGGCAAAAAAUGCGAAAUAACCCUUUAACCGUACAUUUGACAGACACGCCCGUGCUGACUUUUUUGUAGAUCUUAUUGAGAUACAUGUGUGUGUCAAUUUUUGUGUCAAUAUGACAAAGCGUACAGGCGUGACAGUCAAUAGUGUGAAUUUUCACCUUAGGGGGCGCUAUGGAGCCAUUUUGCAUUUUAUUGUUUGGGUGACUUCAGAAUAUCGAAUUUUUCACCAGGCCCGGUCGUCCUGCCAAAUUUCAUGAGUUUUCGCCAGUGGGAAGUGGGCCAUUUUCCAGUUUAAAGCGGAGGAAAAAUAAUAACUAGGGCCCCGUUGGGGCACUGGCGGGCCCGAGCUGUGUCGCGCCCCCCCCCCAACGCGCUGCCUCCCCGUCCCAUUCGCGUCCUCUGGCCAUCGUCCUCUCUGGUAACGCCCAUCACUGCAAAGACCCUUUUCCUUCAUCGGGGUUUGCUGUUCUUCCUGCCAGUGCGUGUUGCUUUCACUUACACUUGCCACAGCCAGCCUCGUGAGUGCCUAGCCUAUUGGAUAUCACUGUCACCUACACAGGACAGUCAUUACCUUUCUAUUAAUACUUUGUUUUUUAAUUUCACAUUAAUUUCCAUAUUGUAUAAACGACUGGAAAAAACUUGAGCCCCUGCCCCUGUAUAAUCAUGUGCACGUCCCUGUUCUCGCUCCAAGGUGAAUCUUCACUGCUCAUGUUCUCCUCAGAAGCAGUCACCUCACUCCCCUCAGGUUACUGUACACAUGCACCAACUGCCUGCUUCAGGUUUGGAUGGAGCUUCAUGGUUGUCAUUUGGAGAAAUGAACAGUCAAGUUGUGUUUGAAAUUUGAUUUUUUUCAGGGGCAAAAGGAAGCCUCUGCAUUCUUGUCAAAUAUGUAAACAGCAUGUUUUUGCAGGUGCUAAAAAACAGACUCUGAGUGUGUGUGUGUGUGUGUGUGUGUGUGUGUGUGUGUGUGUGUGUGUGUGUGUAUAUGUGUGUGUAUCCUGCAGUACUCUGUACUCCUGCAGUGACCAAAAAGACUUUUAAGAAUGUGGAUUUUUGGGUCAUCUUUGGCGCCCCCUAGAACGUAAACCGUGGGGUGCAGCGGCAUGAUUUUUACAACUUUGAAUGGGCAUGGGGUGUAGAUUGGCCUGAGCAAAUUUGGUAUCGGUGGGACGAAAGCCUUAGAAGGAGAUAGCCACAUUCCAAUGUGUGCGAAUCGGCAAAAAAUGCAAAAUAGCCCUUUAACCGUACAUUUGACAGAUACGUGCCUAUUGACUUUUUUGUAGAUCUUAUUGAGAUACACGUGAUUGUCAAAUUGUGUGUCAAUAUGACAAAGUGUAUAGGCGUGACACUCAACAAUGUGUAUUUUUACCUUAGGAGACAAGAAAAAAUGGACUUUUUUCUCCUGCCAUGGGGGGGCGCUCUUUUGGGGAGUAAAAAUUCCUUCACAAAUGAGUUGAUGGCUGGACAUUGCAUCAUCCUAGAAACCUUGGAGGCCAGUGAGGACAAAAAUAAAAAGUUAUAAGACUUUUAAGAAUGUGGAUUUUUUGGUUAUCUUUGGCGCCGCCUAGAACCUAAACCGUGGGGUGCAGCGUCAUGAUUUGUACAACUUUUAAUGGCCAUGGGGUGUAGAUUGGCCUGAGCAAAUUUGGUGCCGGUGGAACGAAAGCCUUCGGAGGAGUUAGCGAAAUUCCAAUGUGUGCGGAUCGGCAAAAAAAGCGAAAUAGCCCUUUAACCGUACAUUUGACAGAUACGCCCGCGCUGACUUUUUCGUAGAUCUUAUUGAGAUACACAUGUGUGUCAAAUUUUGUGUCAUUUUGACAAAGCGUACAGGCAUCAGGUGAGUUUUCACCAUAGGGGGCGCUAUGGAGCCAUUUUUCAUUUUUUUUGUUUGGACGACUUCAGAAUAUCAAAUUUUUCACCAGGCCCGGUCGUCCUGCCAAAUUUCCUGAGUUUUCGCCAGUGGGAAGUGGGCCAUUUUCCAGUUUAAAGCGGAGGAAAAAUAACGAAAGAAGAAUCCAUCAGGAACAAGAGGGCUCUCGCAGCUGCUUAGCAGCUACGCUCGGGCCCUAACUAGGGCCCCGUUGGGGCACUGGCGGGCCCGAGCUGUGUCGCCCCCCCCCCCCCCCCCCCCCCCAACGCGCUGCCUCCCCGUCCCAUUCGCGUCCUCUGGCCAUCGCCCUCUCUGGUAACGCCCAUCACUGCGAAGACCCUUUUCCUUCAUCGGCGUUCUUCCUGCCAGUGCGUGUGGCUUUCACUUGCACUUGCCACAGCCAGCCUCGUGAGUGCCUAGCCUAUUGGAUAUCACUGUCACCUACACAGGACAGUCAUUACCUUUCUAUUAAUACUUUGUUUUUUAAUUUCACAUUAAUUUCCAUAUUGUAUAAACGACUGGAAAAAACUUGAGCCCCUGCCCCUGUAUAAUCAUGUGCACGUCCCUGUUCUAGCUCCAAGGUGAAUCUUGACUGCUCAUGUUCUCCUCAGAAGCAGUCACCUCACUCCCCUCAGGUUACUGUACACAUGCACCAACUGCCUGCUUCAGGUUUGGAUGGAGCUUCAUGGAUGUCUUUUGGAGAAAUGAGCAGUCAAGUUGUGUUUGAAAUUUCAUUUUUUUCAGGGGCAAAAGGAAGUCUCUGCAUUGUUGUCAAAUAUGUAAAUAGCAUGUUUUUGCAGGUGCUAAAAAACAGACUCUGAGUGUGUAUGUGUGUGUGUGUGUGUGUGUGUGUGUGUGUGUGUGUGUGUGUGUGUGUGUGUGUGUGUGUGUCUGUGUGUGUGUGUGUCUGUGUGUGUGUAUCCUGCAGUACUCUGUACUCCUGCAGUGGCCAAAACGACUUUUAAGAAUGUGGAUAUUUGGGUCAUCUUUGGCGCCCCCUAGAACGUAAACCAUGGGGUGCAGCGGCAUGAUUUUUACAACUUUGACUGGCCAUGGGGUGUAGAUUGGCCUGAGCAAAUUUGGUGUCAGUGGGACGGAAGCCUUAGGAGGAGUUAGCCACAUUCCAAUGUGUGCGAAUCGGCAAAAAAUGCAAAAUAGCCGUUUAGCCGUACAUUUUACAGAUACGCGCGCAUUGACUUUUUCGUAGAUCUUAUUGAGAUACACGUGUGUGUCAAAUUUUGUGUCAUUUUGACAAAGCAUACAGGCGUGAAUCUCAACAAUGUGUAUUUUCACCUUAGGGGACAAGAAAAAAUUGAUUUUUUGUCCUGCCAUGGGGGGGCGCUCUUUUGGGGAGUAAAAAUUCCUUUACAAAUGUGUUGAUGGCUGGACAUUGCAUCAUCCUAGAAAACUUGGAGGCCAGUGAGGACAAAAAUAAAAAGUUAUAACACUUUUAAGAAUGUGGAUUUUUGGGUUAUUUUUGGCGCCCCCUAGAACCUAAACCAUGGAGUGCAGCAUCAUGAUUUGUACAACUUUGAAUGGCCAUGGAGUGUAGAUUGGCCUGAGCAAAUGUGGUGCCAGUGGAACGAAAGCCUUCGGAGGAGUUAGCGAAAUUCCAAUGUGUGCGGAUCUGCAAAAAAUGCGAAAUAACCCUUUAACCGUACAUUUGACAGAUACGCCCGCACUGACUUUUUUGUAGAUCUUAUUGAGAUACAUGUGUGUGUCAAUUUUUGUGUCAAUAUGACAAAGCGUACAGGCGUGACAGUCAAUAGUGUGAAUUUUCACCUUAGGGGGCGCUAUGGAGCCAUUUUGCAUUUUAUUGUUUGGGCGACUUCAGAAUAUCGAAUUUUUCACCAGGCCCGGUCGUCCUGCCAAAUUUCCUGAGUUUUCGCCAGUGGGAAGUGGGCCAUUUUCCCCUUCAAAGGGGAGGAAAAAUAAGAAGAAAGAAAGAACUAGGACCCCGUUGGGGCACUGGCGGGCCCGAGCUGUGUCGCGUCCCCCCCCCAACGCGCUGCCUCCCCGUCCCAUUUGUGUCCUCUGGCCAUCGCCCUCUCUGGUAACGCCCAUCACUGCAAAGACCCUUUUCCUUCAUCGGCGUUUGCUGUUCUUCCUGCCAGUGCGUGUUGCUUUCACUUACACUUGCCACAGCCAGCCUCGUGAGUGCCUAGCCUAUUGGAUAUCACUGUCACCUACACAGGACAGUCAUUACCUUUCUAUUAAUACUUUGUUUUUUAAUUUCACAUUAAUUUCCAUAUUGUAUAAACAACUGGUAAAAACUUGAGCCCCUGCCCCUGUAUAAUCAUGUGCACGUCUCUGUUCUAGCUCUAAGGUGAAUCUUCACUGCUCAUGUUCUCCUCAGAAGCAGUCACCUCACUCCCCUCAGGUUACUGUACACAUGCAUCAACUGCCUGCUUCAGGUUUGGAUGGAGCUUCAUGGUUGUCUUUUGGAGAAAUGACCAGUCAAGUUGUGUUUGAAAUUUGAUUUUUUUCAGGGGCAAAAGGAGCCUCUGCAUUCUUGUCAAAUAUGUAAAUAGCAUGUUUUUGCAGGUGCUAAAAACCAGACUCUGAGUGUGUGUGUGUGCGUGUGUGUGUGUGUCUGUGUGUGUGUGUGUGUGUGUGUGUGUGUGUGUGUGUGUGUGUGUGUGUGUGUGUGUGAGUUCAAGUCACAUGACAUAUUUAACCGGAUGUAGCUGCAAGACGGAGCCUCGUUGACUCUCCGUUUCAACUUAUCUCAAAAGUGAGGACCUCAACCUAUAUACCAGUUUUUAAAUUGUGUUGAUAGGCCAAAUAAAACCAGAGUUAUGAUAAAUUAUGUCCGCGAUACUUUUUUUCUGCUUAUUUUGAUCACGUUCGGCGCUCGAUCGCGCUGUAUGAGACAGGAAAACAUAGCAUGCAGACAUUAGCGACAGGUCUUACAGGCGGAAAAGGCUUGCCAAAGGAAAAAAAAAACACACCACAACAUCUCUCCUAUUGGUGGAAAACUUCACCACAACAACCAAUCCAAAAUUAUAUGGUGACUGAUUGACAAGGGGCGGGCGCUUACGUUCUUCCUGCAAUAUGAGAAGGGAGGGAGGGACUCUCAGCAGGGAUGCAGUCUGGGACACGUAGUUGCAAACCUAGCGACUUUGUUGUUAGAUUCAAUGACUUUUCAGACCCCCUAACGACGUUUUUUUAGAAAGAAAGUGACUUUUAUCGACUUCUUCUGGAGUUUAGAGACUCUGACAUGAAGCAGGCUUUCCUUACUGAGGAGUUAGCAACGCUGCUAAGGGUGCAGAGCCACACAUGCGCUCCGAGCUCUGCAUGGGAGACUGAAGCUGACAGAGCUGCAGCAGUUAGCAGGUUUCACCCUCAGAGACCACCAGGGGUUCAUGUUGAGGCAUUUUCAGUUUUUUUUUUUUUUUGCCAUAGACACUGUCAGCACAAUCUGCAGUUACACUAACAAAAAUGCUGCAAAAAACAAAGAAUUAUGGAAAAAUUACACAUGGACUGACAUAGAGGAGGAUCUACACAAGUUUUUUACAUCAUGUUUUACAUCAUGCAUCAUUUACAUCAUGUUUUUUUGUAGUGGCAUAAAUAAAAAGUGACAUUUGUGAGACUAUACAGUGUUUUGUAAAUAAUUUUACAAAGAACACCUGGGCCAUUGCCUGCAUUUUGAUGUAAAUAGAGGUAAAUUACUAUGUUCUUUGUUAAAAAUUUGCAUAUGUUUUGAAGUUUACAAUUUUUAUUUGAAGUUUAAGUUUUAAAAACAGUUCAUCACACAUAUUUGUGGUUUUCACAGUAAAAACGUUACUUUUUUCCACUCGGAUUUUAUGUUUUGUGUGUGAAUUUGGGUCCAAUGUGUAAAUAUAGUAUGUCAAAAUGAUAAAAUAACUGUAAAUUGACACAGGUGAGGUUGUGCUGAAAAAAAUGAUACCAGGCAAGGCAAGGUAAAAAUUUUGUAAGAGGAAAUAUAAAGGUAAAAUCUAAAGUAGUCAAAAACGGCCAAUAGUGACUCACAGACUCCACAGACAAGUCCCUUUGGCGCCACUCAGUGGGCAAAACUACUUUGUCUACUGUAAUGUAUAUUUGGGUCAUCUUUGGCGCCCCCUAAAACGUAAACCGUGGGGUGCCGCGUCAUGAUUUUUACAACUUUGAAUGGCCAUGGAGUGUAGAUUGGCCUGAGCAAAUUUGGUGUCAGUGGGACGAAAGCCUUAGGAGGAGUUAGCGAAAUUCCAAUAUGUGCGAAUCGGCAAAAAAUGCAAAAUAGCCCUUUUACCGUACAUUAUACAGAUACGCGCUCUUGACUUUUUCGUAGAUCUAAUUGAGAUACACAUGAUUGUCAAUUUUUGUGUCAUUUUGCCAAAGCGUACAGGCGUGACAGUCAACAAUGUGUAUUUUCACCUUAGGGGACAAGAAAAAAUGGACUUUUUUCUCCUGCCAUGGGGGGGCGCUCUUUUAGGGAGUAAAAAUUCCUUCACAAAUGUGUUGAUGGCUGGACAUUGCAUCAUCCUAGAAAACUUGGAGGCCAGUGAGGACAAAAAUAAAAAGUUAUAAGACUUUUAAAAAUUUGGAUUUUUGGGUUAUCUUUGGCGCCCCCUAGAACGUAAACCGUGGGGUGCAGCGUCAUGAUUUGAAUAACUUUUAAUGGCCAUGGGGUGUAAUUUGGCCUGAGCAAAUGUGGUGCCGGUGGAACGAAAGCCUUCGGAGGAGUUAGCGAAAUUCCAAUGUGUGCGAAUCGGCAAAAAAUGCGGAAUAACCCUUUAACCGUACAUUUGACAGAUACGCGCGCUUUGACUUUUUUGUAGAUCUUAUUGAGAUACAUGUGUGUGUCAAUUUUUGUGUCAUUUUGACAAAGCGUACAGGCGUGACACUCAACAAUGUGUAUUUUCACCUUAGGGGACAAGAAAAAAUGGACUUUUUUCUCCUGCCAUGGGGGGGCGCUCUUUUGGGGAGUAAAAAUUCCUUCACAAAUGUGUUGAUGGCUGGACAUUGCAUCAUCCUAGAAAACUUGGAGGCCAGUGAGGACAAAAAUAAAAAGUUAUAAGACUUUGAAAUAUGUGGAUUUUAGUGUUAUCUUUGGCGCCCCCUAGAACCUAAACCGUGGGGUGCAGCGUCAUGAUUUGAAUAACUUUUAAUGGCCAUGGGGUGUAGAUUGGCCUGAGCAAAUGUGGUGCCGGUGGAACGAAAGCCUUCGGAGGAGUUAGCGAAAUUCCAAUGUGUGCGGAUCGGCAAAAAAUGCGAAAUAACCCUUUAACCGUACAUUUGACAGAUACGCCCGCACUGACUUUUUUGUAGAUCUUACUGAGAUACAUGUGUGUGUCAAUUUUUGUGUCAUUUUGACAAAGCGUACAGGCGUGACAGUCAAUAGUGUGAAUUUUCACCUUAGGGGGCGCUAUGGAGCCAUUUUGCAUUUUAUUGUUUGGGCGACUUCGGAAUAUCAAAUUUUUCACCAGGCCCGGUCGUCCUGCCAAAUUUCAUGAGUUUUCGCGGGUGGGAAGUGGGCCAUUUUCCAGUUCAAAGGGGAGGAAAAAUAACUAGGACCCCGUUGGGGCACUGGCGGGCCCGAGCCGUGUCGCGUCCCCCCCCCCAACGUGCUGCCUCCCCGUCCCAUUUGUGUCCUCUGGCCAUCGCCCUCUCUGGUAACGCCCAUCACUGCAAAGACCCUUUUCCUUCAUCGGCGUUUGCUGUUCUUCCUGCCAGUGCGUGUUGCUUUCACUUACACUUGCCACAGCCAGCCUCGUGAGCGCCUAGCCUAUUGGAUAUCACUGUCACCUACACAGGACAGUCAUUACCUUUCUAUUAAUACUUUGUGUUUUAAUUUCACAUUAAUUUCCAUAUUGUAUAAACGACUGGAAAAAACUUGAGCCCCUGCCCCUGUAUAAUCAUGUGCAUGUCUCUGUUCUAGCUCCAAGGUGAAUCUUCACUGCUCAUGUUCUCCUCAGAAGCACUCACCUCACUCCCCUCAGGUUACUGUACACAUGCACCAACUGCCUGCUUCAGGUUUGGAUGGAGCUUCAUGGUUGUCUUUUGGAGAAAUGAGCAGUCAAGUUGUGUUUGAAAUUUGAUUUUUUUCAGGGGCAAAAGGAGCCUCUGCAUUCUUGUCAAAUAUGUAAAUAGCAUGUUUUUGCAGGUGCUAAAAACCAGACUCUGAGUGAGUGUGUGUGUGUGUGUGUGUGCGUUCAAGUCACAUGACAUAUUUAACCAGAUGUAGCUGCAAGACGGAGCCUCGUUGACUCUCCGUUUCAACUUAUCUCAAAAGUGAGGACCUCAACCUAUAUACCAGUUUUUAAAUUGUGUUGAUAGGCCAAAUAAAACCAGAGUUAUGAUAAAUUAUGUCCGCGAUACUUUUUUUCUGCUUAUUUUGAUCACGUUCGGCGCUCGAUCGUGCUGUAUGAGACAGGAAAACAUAGCAUGCAGACAUUAGCGACAGGUCUUACAGGCGGAAAAGGCUUGCCAAAAGAAAAAAAAAACACACCACGACAUCUCUCCUAUUGGUGGAAAACUUCACCACAACAACCAAUCCAAAAUUAUAUGGUGACUGAUUGACAAGGGGCGGGCGCUUACGUUCUUCCUGCAACAUGAGAAGCGAGGGAGGGACUCUCAGCAGGGAUGCAGUCUGGGACACGUAGUUGCAAACCUAGCGACUUUGUUGUUAGAUUCAAUGACUUUUCAGACCCCCUAACGACUUUUUUUUAGAAAGAAAGGGACUUUUAUCGACUUCUUCUGGAGUUUAGAGACUCUGAUAUGAAGCAGGCUUUCCUUACUGAGGAGUUAGCAACGCUGCUAAGGGUGCAGAGCCACACAUGCGCUCCGAGCUCUGCAUGGGAGACUGAAGCUGACAGAGCUGCAGCAGUUAGCAGGUUUCACCCUCAGAGACCACCAGGGGUUCAUGUUGAGGCAUUUUAAUUUUUUUUUUUUUUGUGCCAUAGACACUGUCAGCACAAUCUGCAGUUACACUAACAAAAAUGCUGCAAAAAACAAAGAAUUAUGGAAAAAUUACACAUGGACUGACAUAGAGGAGGAUCUACACAAGUUUUUUACAUCAUGUUUUACAUCAUGCAUCAUUUACAUCAUGUUUUUUUGUAGUGGCAUAAAUAAAAAGUGACAUUUGUGAGACUAUACAGUGUUUUGUAAAUAAUUUUACAAAGAACGCCUGGGCCAUUGCCUGCAUUUUGAUGUAAAUAGAGGUAAAUCACUAUGUUCUUUGUUAAAAAUUUGCAUAUGUUUUGAAGUUUACAAUUUUUAUUUGAAGUUUAAGUUUUAAAAACAGUUCAUCACACAUAUUUGUGGUUUUCACAGUAAAAAUGUUACUUUUUUCCACUCGGAUUUUAUGUUUUGUGUGUGAAUUUGGGUCCAUUGUGUAAAUUCAGUAUGUCAACAUGAUAAAAUAACUGUAAAUUCGCACAGGUGAGGUUGUGCUGAAAAAAAUGAUACCAGGCAAGGCACGUGUAUGUAAAAUUUUGUGUCAAUAUGACAAAGCGUAUAGGCGUGAAUCUCAACAAUAUGUAUUUUCACCUUAGGGGACAAGAAAAAAUGGACUUUUUUCUCCUGCCAUGGGGGGGCGCUCUUUUGGGGAGUAAAAAUUCCUUCACAAAUGUGUUGAUGGCUGGACAUUGCAUCAUCCUAGAAAACUUGGAGGCCAGUGAGGACAAAAAUAAAAAGUUAUAAGACUUUUAAAUAUGUGGAUUUUAGGGUUAUCUUUGGCGCCCCCUAGAACCUAAACCGUGGGGUGCAGCGUCAUGAUUUGAAUAACUUUUAAUGGCCAUGGGGUGUAAAUUGGCCUGAGCAAAUGUGGUGCCGGUGGAACGAAAGCCUUAGGAGGAGUUAGCCACAUUCCAAUGUGUGCGGAUCGGCAAAAAAUGCGGAAUAACCCUUUAACCGUACAUUUGACAGAUACGCGCGCAUUGACUUUUUCGUAGAUCUUAUUGAGUUACAUGUGUGUGUCAAUUUUUGUGUCAUUUUGACAAAGCGUAUAGGCUUGACACUCAACAAUGUGUAUUUUCACCUUAGGGGGCGCUAUGGAGCCAUUUUGCAUUUUAUUGUUUGGGCGACUUCAGAAUAUCGAAUUUUUCACCAGGCCCGGUCGUCCUGCCAAAUUUCAUGAGUUUUCGCCAGUGGGAAGUGGGCCAUUUUCCAGUUCAAAGGGGAGGAAAAAGAAGAAAGAAAGAAAGAACUAGGGCCCCGGUGGGGCACUGUCGGGCCCGAGCCGCGUCGCGCCGCCCCCAGCGCGACCGCCUCCACCUCCCGAUCGCGUCACACUCUAGGUCCAAAGAUGGAGUGCGCACUUGUCUGUGGUCAUUUCCCAUUAUAAUGAAUGGGAGGCGCAGUUUCUACCAAAACACUCGCUGCAGACAAACUACAUGUCCUAUUUGAAAAAAGUCUGGACCAUGAGUGAGGGCACAAACACAGCUAGGAUAUAUCCAAAUGGCAAGUUGCUCCUCCUUUCGCUUUUGCCGAGAGAGCGAUGCGAUUGAGCCAUUGAGCGAUGGGCAGGAAAAACUUGACUUUUUCUCCUGCCAUGGGGGGAGGGGGGGGGAUGUGGAUUCUUUUAAGAAUGUGGAUAUUUGGGUCAUCUUUGGCACCCCCUAGAAUGUAAACCGUGGGGUGCAGCGUCAUGAUUUUUACAACUUUGAAUGGCCAUGGGGUGUAGAUUGGCCUGAGCAAAUUUGGUGUCAGUGGGACGAAAGCCUUAGGAGGAGUUAGCGACAUUCCAAUGUGUGCGAAUCGGCAAAAAAUGCAAAAUAGCCCUUUAACCGUACAUUUUACAGAUAUUUGCGCAUGACUUUUUCAUAGAUCUUAUUGAGAUACACGUGAUUGUCAAAUUUUGUGUCAUUUUGACAAAGCGUACAGGCGUGACACUCAACAAUGUGUAUUUUCACCUUAUGGGACAAGAAAAAAUGGACUUUUUUCUCCUGCCAUGGGGGGGCGCUCUUUUGGGGAGUAAAAAUUCCUUCACAAAUGUGUUGAUGGCUGGACAUUGCAUCAUCCUAGAAAACUUGGAGGCCAGUGAGGACAAAAAUAAAAAGUUAUAAGACUUUUAAGAAUGUGGAUUUUUGGGUUAUAUUUGGCGCCCCCUAGAACCUAAACCGUGGGGUGCAGCGUCAUGAUUUGUACAACUUUUAAUGGCCAUGGGGUGUAGAUUUGCUUGAGCAAAUUUGGUGCCGGUGGAACGAAAGCCUUCGGAGGAGUUAGCAAAAUUCCAAUGUGUGCGGAUCGGCAAAAAAUGCGAAAUAGCCCUUUAACCGUACAUUAUACAGAUACGCGCUCUUUGACUUUUUCGUAGAUCUUAUUGAGAUACACGUGUGUGUCAAAUUUUGUGUCAAUAUGACAAAGCGUUCAGGCAUGACACUCAACAAUGUGUAUUUUCACCUUAGGGGACAAGAAAAAAUGGACUUUUUUCUCCUGCCAUGGGGGGGCGCUCUUUUGGGGAGUAAAAAUUUCUUCACAAAUGUGUUGAUGGCUGGAUAUUGCAUCAUCCUAGAGAACUUGGAGGCCAGUGAGGACAAAAAUAAAAAGUUAUAAGACUUUUAAGACUGUGGAUUUUUGGGUUAUCUUUGGCGCCCCCUAAAAUGUAAACCGUGGGGUGCAGCGUCAUGAUUUGUACAACUUUUAAUGGCCAUGGGGUGUAGAUUGUCCUGAGCAAAUUUGUUGCCGGUGGAACGAAAGCCUUCGGAGGAGUUAGCGAAAUUCCAAUGUGUGCGGAUCGGCAAAAAAUGCGAAAUAGCCCUUUAACCGUACAUUUGACAGAUACGCCCGCACUGACUUUUUUGUAGAUCUUAUUGAGAUACACAUGUGUGUCAAAUUUUGUGUCAUUUUGACAAAGCGUACAGGCGUCAGGUGAGUUUUCACCAUAGGGGGCGCUAUGGAGCCAUUUUUCAUUUUUUUGUUUGGGCGACUUCAGAAUAUCGAAUUUUUCACCAGGCCCGGUCGUCCUGCCAAAUUUCAUGAGUUUUCGCCAGUGGGAAGUGGGCCAUUUUCCAGUUUAAAGCGGAGGAAAAAUAACGAAAGAAGAAUCCAUCAGGAACAAGAGGGCUCUCGCAGCUGCUUAGCAGCUACGCUCGGGCCCUAAAGAAAGAAAGAAAGAAACAAAGAAAAACCACUUGGGGAAUAAUAGGGCUCUCGCAGCUGCUUAGCAGCUACGCUCGGGCCCUAAUAAUAACAAAAGAAGGAAACAUGCAGGAACAAGAGGGCUCUCGCAGCUGCUUAGCAGCUACGCUCGGGCCCUAAUAACAAAAGAAGGAAACUACAGGAACAAGAGGGCUCUCGCAGCUGCUUAGCAGCUACGCUCGGGCCCUAACUAGGACCCCGUUGGGGCACUGGCGGGCCCGAGCCGUGUCGCCCCCCCCCCCCCAACGUGCUGCCUCCCCGUCCCAUUUGUGUCCUCUGGCCAUCGCCCUCUCUGGUAACGCCCAUCACUGCAAAGACCCUUUUCCUUCAUCGGCGUUUGCUGUUCUUCCUGCCAGUGCAUGUUGCUUUCACUUACACUUGCCACAGCCAGCCUCGUGAGUGCCUAGCCUAUUGGAUAUCACUGUCACCUACACAGGACAGUCAUUACCUUUCUAUUAAUACUUUGUGUUUUAAUUUCACAUUAAUUUCCAUAUUGUAUAAACGACUGGAAAAAACUUGAGCCCCUGCCCCUGUAUAAUCAUGUGCAUGUCUCUGUUCUAGCUCCAAGGUGAAUCUUCACUGCUCAUGUUCUCCUCAGAAGCAGUCACCUCACUCCCCUCAGGUUACUGUACACAUGCACCAACUGCCUGCUUCAGGUUUGGAUGGAGCUUCAUGGUUGUCUUUUGGAGAAAUGAGCAGUCAGGUUGUGUUUGAAAUUUGAUUUUUUUCAGGGGCAAAAAGGGGCCUCUGCAUUCUAGUCAAAUAUGUAAAUAGCAUGUUUUUGCAGGUGCUAAAAAAAAGACUCUGAGUGUGUGUGUGUGUAUAUCCUGCAGUACUCUGAGAAGAAUAAUAAGCAUAUUUCUGAGGUGAAUUUUGAAGAUUCAUCUGAGAGUUAGGAGGGCUGAUUAUUCCCUUACCCUUUAGAUGUCUGUCUAUGUCUGUUUUUGUGUGAUAAUGAAAGAAUCCCAACUCAAAAAGGCUCUGUUGAUGGUUUUUUUUGUUGUUGUUCAUUCAUAUUCAAACCACUAUUUUAUAUCACUGCUAAUACGCCAAGACCAUUUUAUGGUAUUUAGCUUUAUUAUUUCUAUACAUUUUGCAAGGAAAGAAACCAAGGCCUUCACUAAAAUUUCCAUAAACUUUAGGAAAGGACCUCUGGUUGUUUAAGGGGGUCAUUACUGCAAAAACAUAUCCUUCCUAAAUUUUGAAGGUCAAACCUUAGAUCCAUUAGGUUUAAAUAGAAAAAGCAUUAAAAUAUGUUAGGAUUAUAGCAUAUGACAAAUAUGUGCCUUUCAGUGGCCACAACUACUUUGUCUGCUGGCUCUGCAGUCGAUUGACGCUCCCCAGCGUUCAAGUCACAUUACAUAUUUAACCGGAUGUAGCAGCAAGACGGAGCCUCGUUGACUCUCCGUUUCAACUUAUCUCAAAAGUGAGGACCUCAAACUAUACACCAGUUUUCAAAUUGUGUUGAUAGGCCAAAUAAAACCAGAGUUAUGAUAAAUUAUGUCCGCGAUACUUUUUUUCUGCUUAUUUUGAUCACGUUCGGCGCUCGAUCGCGCUGUAUGAGACAGGAUAACAUAGCAUGCAGACAUUAGCGACAGGUCUUACAGGCGGAAAAGGCUUGCCAAAGAAAAAAAACAACACACCACAACAUCUCUCCUAUUGGUGGAAAACUUCACCACAACAACCAAUCCAAAAUUAUAUGGUGACUGAUUGACAAGGGGCGGGCGCUUACGUUCUUCCUGCAACAUGAGAAGGGAGGGAGGAACUCUCAGCAGGGAUGCAGUCUGGGACACGUAGUUGCAAACCUAGCGACUUUGUUGUUAGAUUCAAUGACUUUUCAGACCCCCUAACGACUUUUUUUUAAGAAAGAAAGGGACUUUUAUCGACUUCUUCUGGAGUUUAGAGACUCUGACAUGAAGCAGGCUUUCCUUACUGAGGAGUUAGCAACGCUGCUAAGGGUGCAGAGCCACACAUGCGCUCCGAGCUCUGCAUGGGAGACUAAAGCUGACAGAGCUGCAGCAGUUAGCAGGUUUCACCCUCAGAGACCACCAGGGGUUCAUGUUGAGGCAUUUUCAGUUUUUUUUUUUUUUUUUUUGCCAUAGACACUGUCAGCACAAUCUGCAGUUACACUAACAAAAAUGCUGCAAAAAACAAAGAAUUAUGGAAAAAUUACACAUGGACUGACAUAGAGGAGGAUCUACACAAGUUUUUUACAUCAUGUUUUACAUCAUGCAUCAUUUACAUCAUGUUUUUUUGUAGUGGCAUAAAUAAAAAGUGACAUUUGUGAGACUAUACAGUGUUUUGUAAAUAAUUUUACAAAGAAUGCCUGGGCCAUUGCCUGCAUUUUGAUGUAAAUAGAGGUAAAUUACUAUGUUCUUUGUUAAAAAUUUGCAUAUGUUUUGAAGUUUACAAUUUUUAUUUGAAGUUUAAGUUUUAAAAACAGUUCAUCACACAUAUUUGUGGUUUAAUUUCACAUUAAUUUCCAUAUUGUAUAAAUGACUGGAAAAAACUUGAGCCCCUGCCCCUGUAUAAUCAUGUGCACGUCCCUGUUCUAGCUCCAAGGUGAAUCUUCACUGCUCAUGUUCUCCUCAGAAAUAGUCACCUCACUCCCCUCAGGUUACUGUACACAUGCACCAACUAUCUGCUUCAGGUUUGGAUGGAGCUUCAUGGUUGUCUUUUGGAGAAAUGAACAGUCAAGUUGUGUUUGAAAUUUGAUUUUUUUCAGGGGCAAAAGGAAGCCUCUGCAUUCUUGUCAAAUAUGUAAACAGCAUGUUUUUGCAGGUGCUAAAAAACAGACUCUGAGUGUGUGUGUGUGUGUGUGUGUGUGUGUGUGUGUGUGUAUGUGUGUGUUGGCGUGUGUGUAUAUGUGUGUGUAUCCUGCAGUACUCUGUACUCCUACAGUGGCCAAAAAGACUUUUAAGAAUGUGGAUUUUUGGGUCAUCUUUGGCGCCCCCUAGAACUGCUGUACUCUGUACUCCUGCAGUGGCCAAAAUGACUUUUAAGAAUGUAGAUUUUUGGGUCAUCUUUGGCGCCCCCUAGAACGUAAACCGUGGGGUGCAGCGUCAUGAUUUUUACAACUUUGAAUGGGCAUGGGGUGUAGAUUGCCCUGAGCAAAUUUGGUAUCGGUGGGACGAAAGCCUUAGGAGGAGAUAGCCACAUUCCAAUGUGUGCGAAUCGGCAAAAAAUGCGAAAUAGCCCUUUAACCGUACAUUAUACAGAUACGCGCUCUUUGACUUUUUCGUAGAUCUAAUUGAGAUACAUAUGAUUGUCAAUUUUUUUGUCAAUAUGACAAAGCGUUCAGGCGUGACACUCAACAAUGUGUAUUUUCACCUUAGGGGACAAGAAAAAAUGGACUUUUUUCUCCUGCCAUGGGGGGGGGGGGGGGGGCUCUUUUGGCGAGUAAAAAUUCCUUCACAAAUGUGUUGAUGGCUGGACAUUGCAUCAUCCUAGAAAACUUGGAGGCCAGUGGGGACAACAAUAAAAAGUUAUAAGACUUUUAAAUAUGUGGAUUUUAGGGUUAUCUUUGGCGCCCCCUAGAACCUAAACCGUGGGGUGCAGCGUCAUGAUUUGAAUAACUUUUAAUGGCCAUGGGGUGUAGAUUGGCCUGAGCAAAUGUGGUGCCGGUGGAACGAAAGCCUUAGGAGGAGUUAGCCACAUUCCAAUGUGUGCGGAUCGGCAAAAAAUGCGGAAUAACCCUUUAACCGUACAUUUUACAGAUACGUGGCCAUUGACUUUUUCGAAGAUCUUAUUGAAAUACACGUGUAUGUAAAAUUUUGUGUCAAUACGACAAAACAUACAGGCGUAGCACUCAACAAUGUGUAUUUUCACCUUAGGGGACAAGAAAAAAUUGACUUUUUUCUCCUGCCAUGGGGGGGCGCUCUUUUGGCGAGUAAAAAUUCCUUCACAAAUGUGUUGAUGGCUGGACAUUGCAUCAUCCUAGAAAACUUGGAGGCCAGUGGGGACAACAAUAAAAAGUUAUAAGACUUUUAAAUAUGUGGAUUUUAGGGUUAUCUUUGGCGCCCCCUAGAACCUAAACCGUGGGGUGCAGCGUCAUGAUUUGAAUAACUUUUAAUGGCCAUGGGGUGUAGAUUGGCCUGAGCAAAUAUGGUGCCGGUGGAACGAAAGCCUUCGGAGGAGUUAGCGAAAUUCCAAUGUGUGCGGAUUGGCAAAAAAUGCGCAAUAACCCUUUAACCGUACAUUUGACAGAUACGCCCGCACUGACUUUUUUGUAGAUCUUAUUGAGAUACAUGUGUGUGUCAAUUUUUGUGUCAUUUUGACAAAGCGUACAGGCGUGACAGUCAAUAGUGUGAAUUUUCACCUUAGGAGGCGCUAUGGAGCCAUUUUGCAUUUUAUUGUUUAAGCGACUUCAGAAUAUCGAAUUUUUCACCAGGCCCGGUCGUCUGGCCAAAUUUCAUGAGUUUUGGCCAGUGGGAAGUGGGCCAUUUUCCAGUUCAAAGGGGAGGAAAAAGAAAAAAGAAAGAAAGAAACAAAGAAAAACCACUACAGGAAUAAUAGGGCUCUACGCCCGGCUGCUCUGCAGCUGGCUCGGGCCCUAAAAAGAAACAAAGAAAAACCACUUGGGGAAUAAUAGGGCUCUCGCAGCUGCUUAGCAGCUACGCUCGGGCCCUAAUAAUAACUAGGGCCCCGUUGGGGCACUGGCGGGCCCGAGCCGCGUUGCGCCGCCCCCAGUGCGACCGCCUCCCCCUCCCGAUCGCGUCACACUCAAGGUCCAAAGAUGGUGUGCGCACUUGUCUGUGGUCAUUUCCCAUUAUAAUGAAUGGGAGGCGCAGUUUCUACCAAAACACUCGCUGCAGACAAACUUCAUGUCCUAUUUGAAAAAAGUCUGGACCAUGAGUGAGGGCACAAACACAGCUAGGAUAUAUCCAAACGGCAAGUUGCUCCUCGUUACGGUGUUGCCGGGAGAGCGAUGCGAUUGAGCCAUUGAGUGAUGGGCAGGAAAAACUUGACUGUUUCUCCUGCCAUGGGGGAUGGGGGAUGGGGGAUGGGGGGGGGGGGGGGUGUGGAUUCUUUUAAGAAUGUGGAUAUUUGGGUCAUCUUUGGCGCCCCCUAGAACGUAAACCGUGGGGUGCAGCGUCAUGAUUUUUACAACUUUGAAUGGCCAUGGGGUGUAGAUUGGCCUGAGCAAAUUUGGUGUCAGUGGGACGAAAGCCUUAGGAGGAGUUAGCCACAUUCCAAUGUGUGCUAAUCGGCAAAAAAUGCGAAAUAGCCCUUUAACCGUACAUUUGACAGAUACGCGCGCAUUGACUUUUUCGUAGAUCUUAUUGAGAUACAUGUGUGUGUCAAAUUUUGUGUCAAUAUGACAAAGCGUACAGGUAUGACAGUCAACAAUGUGUAUUUUCACCUUAUGGGACAAGAAAAAAUGGACUUUUUUCUCCUGCCAUGGGGGGGCGCUCUUUUGGGGAGUAAAAAUUCCUUCACAAAUGUGUUGAUGGCUGGACAUUGCAUCAUCCUAGAAAACUUGGAGGCCAGUGAGGACAAAAAUAAAAAGUUAUAAGACUUUUAAAUAUGUGGAUUUUAGUGUUAUCUUUGGCGCCCCCUAGAACCUAAACCUUGGGGUGCAGCGUCAUGAUUUUGAUAACUUUUAAUGGCCACAGGGUGUAGAUUGGCCUGAGCAAAUGUGGUGCCGGUGGAACGAAAGCCUUCGGAGGAGUUAGCGAAAUUCCAAUGUGUGCGGAUCGGCAAAAAAUGCGAAAUAACCCUUUAACCGUAAUUUUGACAGAUACGGCCGCACUGACUUUUUUGUAGAUCUUAUUGAGAUACAUAUGUGUGUCAAUUUUUGUGUCAAUAUGACAAAGCGUACAGGCGUGACAGUCAAUAGUGUGAAUUUCCACCUUAGGGGGCGCUAUGGAGCCAUUUUGCAUUUUAUUGUUUGGGCGACUUCAGAAUAUCGAAUUUUUCACCAGGCCCGGUCGUCCUGCCAAAUUUCAUGAGUUUUCGCCAGUGGGAAGUGGGCCAUUUUCCAGUUCAAAGGGGAGGAAAAAGAAGAAAGAAAGAAAGAAAGAAAGAAAGAAACAAAGAAAAACCACUUGGGGAAUAAUAGGGCUCUCGCAGCUGCUUAGCAGCUACGCUCGGGCCCUAAUAACAAACUAGGGCCCCGUUGGGGCACUGGCGGGCCCGAGCUGUGUCGCCCCCCCCCCCCCCCGCCACCCCCCCCCCCAACGCGCUGCCUCCCCGUCCCAUUCGCGUCCUCUGGCCAUCGCCCUCUCUGGUAACGCCCAUCACUGCGAAGACCCUUUUCCUUCAUCGGCGUUCUUCCUGCCAGUGCGUGUGGCUUUCACUUGCACUUGCCACAGCCAGCCUCGUGAGUGCCUAGCCUAUUGGAUAUCACUGUCACCUACACAGGACAGUCAUUACCUUUCUAUUAAUACUUUGUUUUUUAAUUUCACAUUAAUUUCCAUAUUGUCUAAACGACUGGAAAAAACUUGAGCCCCUGCCCCUGUAUAAUCAUGUGCACGUCCCUGUUCUAGCUCCAAGGUGAAUCUUCACUGCUCAUGUUCUCCUCAGAAGCAGUCACCUCACUCCCCUCAGGUUACUGUACACAUGCACCAACUGCCUGCUUCAGGUUUGGAUGGAGCUUCAUGGUUGUCUUUUGGAGAAAUGAGCAGUCAAGUUGUGUUUGAAAUUUCAUUUUUUUCAGGGGCAAAAGGAAGUCUCUGCAUUGUUGUCAAAUAUGUAAAUAGCAUGUUUUUGCAGGUGCUGAAAAACAGACUCUGAGUGUGUAUGUGUGUGUGUGUGUGUGUGUGUGUGUGUGUGUGUGUGUGUGUGUGUGUGUGUGUGAGUGUGUGUGUGUGUGUGUGUGUGUGUGUGUGUGUGUCUGUGUGUGUGUAUCCUGCAGUACUCUGUACUCCUGCAGUGGCCAAAACGACUUUUAAGAAUGUGGAUAUUUGGGUCAUCUUUG
rnacentral:lncRNA from 1 species